AGAGUUUGAUCCUGGCUCAGGAUGAACGCUGGCGGCGUGCUUAACACAUGCAAGUCGAACGAACCUUCGGGUUAGUGGCGGACGGGUGAGUAACGCGUGAGAAUCUGCCCUCAGGAGGGGGAUAACGGUUGGAAACGACCGCUAAUACCCCAUAUGCCUACUGGUGAAAUGAAUUUCGCCUGAGGAUGAGCUCGCGUCUGAUUAGCUAGUUGGUGAGGUAAUGGCUCACCAAGGCUUCGAUCAGUAGCUGGUCUGAGAGGAUGAUCAGCCACACUGGGACUGAGACACGGCCCAGACUCCUACGGGAGGCAGCAGUGGGGAAUUUUCCGCAAUGGGCGAAAGCCUGACGGAGCAACGCCGCGUGAGGGACGAAGGCCUCUGGGCUGUAAACCUCUUUUCUCAAGGAAGAAGAUAUGACGGUACUUGAGGAAUAAGCCACGGCUAAUUCCGUGCCAGCAGCCGCGGUAAUACGGGAGUGGCAAGCGUUAUCCGGAAUUAUUGGGCGUAAAGCGUCCGCAGGCGGCUUUUCAAGUCUGCUGUUAAAGCGUGGAGCUUAACUCCAUCAUGGCAGUGGAAACUGAAAGGCUUGAGUAUGGUAGGGGCAGAGGGAAUUCCCGGUGUAGCGGUGAAAUGCGUAGAUAUCGGGAAGAACACCAGUGGCGAAGGCGCUCUGCUGGGCCAUUACUGACGCUCAUGGACGAAAGCCAGGGGAGCGAAAGGGAUUAGAUACCCCCUGUAGUCCUGGCCGUAAACGAUGAACACUAGGUGUCGGGGGAAUCGACCCCUUCGGUGUCGUAGCUAACGCGUUAAGUGUUCCGCCUGGGGAGUACGCACGCAAGUGUGAAACUCAAAGGAAUUGACGGGGGCCCGCACAAGCGGUGGAGUAU
rnacentral:rRNA from 1 species